AACGAACGCUGGCGGCAUGCCUAACACAUGCAAGUCGAACGAGACCUUCGGGUCUAGUGGCGCACGGGUGCGUAACGCGUGGGAACCUGCCCUUAGGUUCGGAAUAACUCCCCGAAAGGGGUGCUAAUACCGGAUAAUGUCUUCGGACCAAAGAUUUAUCGCCUUUGGAUGGGCCCGCGUUGGAUUAGCUAGUUGGUAGGGUAAAAGCCUACCAAGGCGACGAUCCAUAGCUGGUCUGAGAGGAUGAUCAGCCACACUGGGACUGAGACACGGCCCAGACCCUCAGGGGGGGAGGAGGGGGGAAAAAUGGAAAAAGGGGCAAAAGCUUAACCCAGCAAGGCCGGGGGAGGAAAAAAGCCUUGGGGGUUGAAAAGCUUUUUUCCCCGGGAUGAAAAGGACAGUACGGGGAAAAUAAGCCCCGGCAAACUCCGUC
rnacentral:rRNA from 1 species